UUUUAUUUUAUUUUUUUUUUUGAGGCAACACUUUAAAUAGAUUCUGAUCUUUGCCAUAUGGUGAGUCCCUUUGUUUAGCUGUGCAGUCUUGACGAGUCUUUCUUCCUGAAGACCUCUUUUGGGGUCUUAAUAUGUGGGGUUCAGAAGCAGGAGACUUUUCCAGCCCCUAAGGCACUUAAUCUUGGGGCUCUCUCCAUUCCCUUUGGUCUUUGCAAGAAAACCAUUGAUUUUCUGCCCGGGUUUAUUUAUAUUUUUCAGCAGAAACCAUCUCGAAUAUACUGUUAUUCUGGCUCUUUCCGUUCAUUUCUCCUGAACUACAGGUUCCUAGUCACACCGACCCCCUUCUUAGCACAACACACAACUGUUUCAUCUCGUGUUUUGCUCCCCCAGGAUACGGGUUACAGCUUUCUGUCUGCUGUAGCUAUUCCCCACAGCUAGCUGCUUGGCUGCUAAGCCAACCUAACAUACUGUAAACAUCCAUUCUCACAGAACCCCCUGGAAGGUCCCAAUAUUUGUUUUGGUUUCGAUUGUUUGUAGUAACAAGUGGACUCUAAAAUGUGUAAUGGCUCAAAUACAAUAGAAGUUAUUCUUCUCACUUAUGUUAACAUUCCAAGGCAAAUACAUCUGGUUGUCUCUUUCCUGUGAAGUGACUCAGUGACCCAGAAUCUUUCCAACUGGUGGCUCUGCUGUGUCCUGGGCUUUCAUUUUCCUCUGUAUCCAGCCAGUGGGAAGCGAAAGGAGGCAUGGAAAAGGCACAUUUAUUUCUUAAAAAGCCUCUUCGAAAUUGGUGUGCGUCAUGUCUGCUCAUACUCUGCUGGCUAGACCUCAGUCAUAUGGCCAGUCCUAAUUUCAAGGGAGGCCAAGAAAUGUAAAGUAGUCAUAGGACACAAGAAAGGAAAACAUGGAUUUUGGUAAAGACUGGGCAGUUUCUAUCACUGCCCAAUUAAAAGGAUUAUUAAAAGGAUUGCUUGGAAAGUUUUCCCUUAGAUAUGUUUUUCUUAUGUCAAUUUAAUUUAUGCCUUCAUUUCCCCCCUCUUAUUAAUAAUAAGUUUAUGAGAUUCUUAAAAAAUUCGUCCCCGUUUAUUUGGCUUUUAAUUACAUAGAAGCAUUUAGUGUAUUUUAUUAUAAGUCAUUAAAAAAGUACUAAUUAAACAAAAUCUUUCACAUAUUUGCUGAGACUUUUUAUUUUUAAAUUGAGAAUUACUUUAUUUUCAAAUGGGAAACAUCAUGGAAUAUUCUGAUAGUCUACGGAGAGAAAACGUUGACUUAAAUAUUUUGCAUACUGGAGAUGGAAAGUUACAAUCAAUUUGCAAUUAAAACGUAAUCUUGAGUGUAUAUAUAUAUAUAUAUAUAAAAUAAGGUAUGAUGAAUACCUAAAUCUCUCCACAACAAUAAAAACAUGAUGAUUUAAUGGUUUUCUAGUCAGAAUGCAGAUGUGCCUAUUUUCUGCUGGAAUUUCACUUUAUAUCAAUUGCAAUUCUGUGCAAGACAAUAAGCCAUGACCCAAAUGAAUAUCAUUGUUUUUGGAGUAAAUGUGUAAGCAAGUCUAUUAUUUUUGCUUCUUCAACCUUAAAUGUCUUAAUGGUGGAAACCCAACCUGUUUUGUUUGUGGGGAGGGGAAUGAAUUCAGCAGCAAGUACUGGGAGGGGAAAUACAUUCCUUAAACUUAGUUAGAGAUUAAAUUAUGAACCCAUUUAUUUUAAGCAGAAGUGUUUUAUUUUUUGUGUUUCAGUAGAGGCAACUCUACUGAAAUUUAAUUUUAAUUAAAAAAAAUUAAGCCAGAGAAAUUGAGCUUUGGUGUUCUACUUUUUAAAAAAGUUAACUCAAAAAACAGCUACUGGUUAAUUUUUGGAACUUAAGAUUUAAAGACAAUCAGAGGUUAGAUAGUAUUGCAGCAACUUUAAUUUCUGUCAGUUUUAGAGCACCAAAAGUUUAAAUUCUUUUCAUUAUGGAAAACAGUACAUGUAAAGUCUGUUUUUAUAAAUCUCUGUUGCUGGAAAUAAAAUGGAAAAGGGAAUAAAAUAUGAAAAAUAUAUCUAAACUCAAAGUCUUUAAGAAAUAAUACAAUAAAUGCCUAAUAAGAAAGAAUUGAAAAUCAACAAACUGCUAUUACCAAAUAAAAAGUGAUUUUGUCAAAUAGAAUUGACAAUACCAGUAUGAAUUAUGACAUGUUCACAGUAAAUGGAAGAGCACACUAGGUAACAGUGUAUGCAUAUGCCUAUUCCAGCUGAAGAUGCUGAGAUAAUUUUGAAGCUACUUUCAUUUUCGACUUCUUUGUGAACUUUAUUAUUUUAAAAAAAAUUCAAUUAGCCAACAUAUAGCACAUCAUUAGUUUUAGAUGUUGUGCUCAAUAAUUUAUUAUUUGCAUAUAUUUGUGAACUUCAAAGGAGAUGAUUUUAAAAUGUUUAAAUUUGCUGUAGUCUGUUUUCUUUGACUUAGAAUUAAAGAAAAUAAAAUGACCCAAACACUGUGAUAGCAAUGUUUUAUAGUGUGUUGAAAUGAGAUUCCUUUCAAACUUGCCAUCUUAAUAACAUUAACAUGUAUCCAUCCGAUAUUUGCUUAUGUGUUAGACAUUAUUUUGGGUAAUGAUCAUCGUGACACUUACUUGUCAAUGAUAAGAAUUUGGGCUGGUUUUUGUGUAUCAUCAUCGGAGAAGACAGAUUCUUACCCAUUCCAAGUGAGUGCUAAAAUGUGAAGAAGUUUCUGACAGAAAGGUGAAGAAAAGUAACUUUUAACCCACACAAAAAUUUAUUCUCUGGAAAAUCAAACUGCCAUUAAAAUCUCCUGGAAUUAAUAUUUUUAACAGUUUUUAUAUUGUUUACAGAGAGGUCAGUGAUUUCUUUACGUAAUACAAUUAUACAAAAGGAAAAAGGCACCGAGACAAUCGGUGUAUAGAUAGUAGAAAAGUAGAUAGGAGAAUAAAAUGCCACAUAUAGCACAUUUUCAAUUACAUGAAAAUGAUUAGAUAUAUGCUCAUUCUAUAAAAUGGGUCGUUUCACACACGCAUCUGUUUUAUAUUUUUGACCCCAAAUGCAAAUGAAUAUGUGACGAUAGUACAACACUUGUGAUAACCAUAAAGACACUUAUAUAUAUUAAUAAGAUCCAUUAAUGGUGUAGAGUCACUAGAAAAUAUGUUGGAGACAAUUGAAGACCAAGGGAAAUGUUAAUCAGCAGUGCAUUUCUUCAGGUUGUUUAAUAGAGUUUUGCUCACAGAGCAUUUAAUCUUCACCACACUGUUAUAGCCAUUAUUAGAAAAAUAAGUAAGAAAGCUCUGUAGAAACUAUACUAUUAAGGAAGCUUCUUUGCCUCCAAAAAAGAAAAAAAAUAAAGAAAAAGAAAGGAAAAAAAAAGAAAGAAAAACAAAGAAACAAGAAGAAAGGAGAGAAGCAAAGUAAGGGGAUACUGAAUAUAAGAUUCCACUAAUUGACUUUUCCAUAAAAAAUUACAUUAUUUUGAGAAAUAAAACACAAUGCAAGAGUAUUGAGCAGGGGUGAACAUCAUGAGUUUUAGAAAAAGAACAGAUCUUAACAUUUAUUGAGAACCUCAAAGCUCACAUAAUAAUUGGUUCUUCAUCAAGACCAACUGAACUGAAAAGAAACAUUGAUAACACUUUCUCAUUUCAAAAUUCUAAUAAAAAUCCAGCCAAAGUUUGGCUGUCCUCUCUACGACAGUUUUAAAGAUUCCUCAAAAUGGUUGCCACUAUAGUUUCACCACAAAAACAGAAAUCAUCUAAUUAAAAUUAUGCAGAAACAUUAUAAAUUAAUUUUGUAAUGCAAGCGACUACUGGAAACUUUCUCGUAGUAAAUUUAAAGCAAUAUUUAUGAUUUCAAAGUACUGUUAGAAGUAUCACCAUUAUUUUCUAGCUGUGCUUCACAUAAUUGUUUAAAUAAACUUAAAUACUAAGCGAGCCAAUUUAUAUGCAAAAGCUACCCUGGUUUCCCCUCGCAAAACAAAUGUGACAUAAUUAUAGAAUGCUGUAAAUGUUCUCAGUAUUUGUCCAGAAGGACUGCCCCAAACAAAAACAAACGCCAUCUGCCCCCCUCCCUCCCAACACAAGCCUUCCUAUGACUCUGUGGUCUGUAUUUCAGUUUUCCCUUUUUGAAAUUCUGCCCAGUGAAGUCAACAUUUGACAUUUUUUAAAACCAUGGCUUUUUAAGGCUUCCUCCCAAAAUUUAAAAAAAAAAAAAAAAAAAAGUGCAAGUGAGAAGAAGAUAGAAGACCAAAAGGAGGGACAAGAUGUCCUAAAACCUCAUUUCUAAGAAGUUGGCUUCUACUCCUUCAUGACUAGAAUCACUUGUAGGUAUUCGAGUUGUUCCUUUAUGCUUUAGGGGUCUUUUUUUCCUAUUGGUGUUUAUGUGGUACCCUCAUCCACAUUAAUGAAGGUUAUGAACAGGAAUCGGUGGUGAGGACCUACCCCCAGGGUAUAAAAGGUUGGGUUGUUACUGAAAACAACACCACAUGGAGGAGGUGAGCACACUCAGAAGCUCAAAGAUGAAGUGCUGGUAAGAGAUUUCACAACCAUCCCCCUUCGACCCAAUGUGAGGCAAGACAAACAAUAAAUCUUAGAGGUAUGGGAAAAUUCUUAUUUUCUCAUUAAACAAAAUAGUCGCAUUUAAUAUUAACUGCUUAAUAUUGCACUGGAUGUUGACUAACUAUAAUUUAUAUAAAAAUUUGAAGAAAAAAAUAGUAUUAACUGCUUAGAUUUAUGGAAAUAAGCAUUCCAGCAAUAGCUGAAUAUAUAAACGGAUUUCAGAAAAUUAUUUUUUCAGUGUAUAAUGGAGUAUUAUAUUCAUCUAUUGGGUAUUCAAUUUAAAAACAAUGUGUCAGCUGAGAGAUCCCAUGUUAAAGGAAUAAACAGAAAGGUAGUAAGGGGUUUUCUUUUUAAAGUAGUCUUGAAUAUUUAAAAGACAAGCUCAAACAUCAAAUACCAAUCAGAAUAAUAAAGAAAAGGGUGAAGAAGGAAAGUAAAAUAAUAGGACAAUUUAAGAUACAGACUGUCAACCUGACAUGGAAAUAAUGUCAAAAAUUUUGCAAAACUAUUGCCAUAGCAGUGACUUUGUUUGCAGUUUAGACAUUUUUAAUGUGCAAAGGGUUUAGAGUCUAUAAUAAAAUUAUGCCAAAUCUUUGUUAGAUUAAUAAUCAAGUUUCCUUCUCUGCUCCUGACCCACACAACGUAUGAAGGUACUUCACACUAGCAGAGGUAAUUGUACAACAACAACUAUCACCCAGAGCAACAGUUGACCUCUAGGGAUCAUGCUUUGCUCCCUCUAGUUGUGGGGAAAACCGGACUGGUCCUCUCACUGUCUGGUUCUUGUGAUUUAGGAAAAAAAAAAAAAAAAAAA
rnacentral:lncRNA from 1 species